GGACGAACGCUGGCGGCGUGCCUAAUACAUGCAAGUCGAACGAACGGAGGAAGAGCUUGCUCUUCCAAAGUUAGUGGCGGACGGGUGAGUAACACGUGGGCAACCUGCCUGUAAGUUGGGGAUAACUCCGGGAAACCGGGGCUAAUACCGAAUGAUARAGUGUGGCGCAUGCCACGCUUUUGAAAGAUGGUUUCGGCUAUCGCUUACAGAUGGGCCCGCGGUGCAUUAGCUAGUUGGUAGGGUAAUGGCCUACCAAGGCAACGAUGCAUAGCCGACCUGAGAGGGUGAUCGGCCACACUGGGACUGAGACACGGCCCAGACUCCUACGGGAGGCAGCAGUAGGGAAUCUUCCGCAAUGGACGAAAGUCUGACGGAGCAACGCCGCGUGUAUGAAGAAGGUUUUCGGAUCGUAAAGUACUGUUGUUAGAGAAGAACAAGGAUAAGAGUAACUGCUUGUCCCUUGACGGUAUCUAAC
rnacentral:rRNA from 1 species